rnacentral:rRNA from 1 species
CCUACGGGGGGCUGCAGUGGGGAAUUUUGGACAAUGGGGGCAACCCUGAUCCAGCCAUGCCGCGUGAGUGAAGAAGGCCUUCGGGUUGUAAAGCUCUUUCGGCCGGGAAGAAAUCGUGUGGGCUAAUACCCUGCAUGGAUGACGGUACCGGAAUAAGAAGCACCGGCUAACUACGUGCCAGCAGCCGCGGUAAUACGUAGGGUGCGAGCGUGCAUCGGACGUACUGGGGGGGUAGCUUACGCAGGGGGUGAAAUCCCCGGGCUUAACCUGGGAACUGCGCGUGUGACUGGAAGGCUAGAGUACGGCAGAGGGGGGUGGAAUUCCACGUGUAGCAGUGAAAUGCGUAGAGAUGUGGAGGAACACCGAUGGCGAAGGCAGCCCCCUGGGCCGAUACUGACGCUCAUGCACGAAAGCGUGGGGAGCAAACAGGAUUAGAUACCCCAGUAGUC